GGCUGGUCUGAGUGCAGUGGUUUACAGAUCAAUUUACAGCUGAUUGAUCACAACCAGUUACAGAUUUCUUUGUUCCUUCUCCACUCCCACUGCUUCACUUGACUAGCCUUUA
rnacentral:Y_RNA from 1 species